CGGCGAAACCCCCUGACGCGGGGGUCGGAGCGGGGUGGUGCCCGCUUCCUGACGAUGCCAGCCGCAU
rnacentral:hammerhead_ribozyme from 1 species